GACGUAGGGCGCGAGCGUUGUCCGGAUUUACUGGGCGUAAAGCGUGCGCAGGCGGUUCGCUGUGUCCUGUGUGAAAGCCCCGGGCUUAACCUGGGAAUGGCAUGGGAAACUGGCGAGCUUGAGUGCGGCAGAGGGGGGUGGAAUUCCGCGUGUAGCAGUGAAAUGCGUAGAUAUUGGGAGGAACACCAGUGGCGAAGGCGGCUCGCUGGACCGGUUCUGACGCUGAGGCGCGAAAGCGUGGGGAGCAAACGGG
rnacentral:rRNA from 1 species